GGGGUUGUGGCUCAGUGGUAGAGUGCUCGCCUAGCAUGUGUGAGGCCCUGGGUUUGAUCCUCAGCAUCACAU
rnacentral:tRNA from 1 species